GCCUACCAAGACUAUGAUGUGUAGCUGGACUGAGAGGUUGAACAGCCACAUUGGGACUGAGACACGGCCCAAACUCCUACGGGAGGCAGCAGUAGGGAAUUUUCGGCAAUGGAGGAAACUCUGACCGAGCAACGCCGCGUGAACGAUGAAGUAUUUCGGUAUGUAAAGUUCUUUUAUUGAAGAAGAAAAAAUAGUGGAAAAACUAUCUUGACGAUAUUCAAUGAAUAAGCCCCGGCAAACUAUGUGCCAGCAGCCGCGGUAAUACAUAGGGGGCGAGCGUUAUCCGGAAUUAUUGGGCGUAAAGGGUGCGUAGGCGGUUUAAUAAGUCUAUAGUUUAAUUUCAGUGCUUAACACUGUCCUGCUAUAGAAACUAUUAGACUAGAGUGAGAUAGAGGCAAGUGGAAUUCCAUGUGUAGCGGUAAAAUGCGUAAAUAUAUGGAGGAACACCAGAGGCGUAGGCGGCUUGCUGGUCUUUACUGACGCUGAGGCACGAAAGCGUGGGGAGCAAACAGGAUUAGAUACCCUGGUAGUCCACGCCGUAAACGAUGAGUACUAAGUGUCGGGAUUACUCGGUACUGAAGUUAACACAUUAAGUACUCCGCCUGAGUAGUACGUACGCACGUUUGAAAAUUAAAAGGAAUUGACGGAACUCCGCGCAAGCGGUAGAUCAUGUUGUUUAAUUUGAAGAUACACGAAAAACCUUACCAGGUCUUGACAUACUCUGCAAAGCUAUAGCAAUAUAGUGGAGGUUAUCAGGGAUACAGGUGGUGCAUGGUUGUCGUCAGCUCGUGUCGUGAGAUGUUAGGUUAUAUCCUAAAACGAGCGCAACCCUUGUCAUUAGUUGCCAGCAUGUCAUGAUGGGCACUUUAAUGAGACUGCCAAUGAAAAAUUGGAGGAAGGUGAGGAUCACGUCAAAUCAUCAUGCCCCUUAUGAUCUGGGCUACAAACGUGAUACAAUGGCUGUUACAAAGAGUAGCUGAAACGCAAGUUUAUAGCCAAUCUCAUAAAAGCAGUCUCAGUUCGGAUUGAAGUCUGCAACUCGACUUCAUGAAGUUGGAAUCGCUAGUAAUCGCGAAUCAGCAUGUCGCGGUGAAUACGUUCUCGGGGUUUGUACACACCGCCCGUCAAACCACGAAAGUUGGUAAUACUCAAAAACGGUAGCCUA
rnacentral:rRNA from 1 species